AAUCACUGCUCGGCACAUGUUCUUCUGACCUUAUUGCUGAUACCAGGGAGGGGAGGAGACGAGGCACCGCAGUGAGUGCAGGGACUUCCCCUGCUGCUGCUGAUCUCAACCAUCCGGCGUAGAUUCACGUGACCGCGCUGUUUCCGGUGACGUCAGGGCUCUGAACCCGGAAGGGGAUGCGGGCGUCCGUGGACUGCGGCCGGCGUCGGGUGAGGUACGGGCGGCAUGCUCGGACUCCAGGCCUCCUUCCAGUGGCUCCACCUCCAGGGGCGCCAAAAUGAAAUUAAACCUUGCCCCCCACCCAACAUAAAACAUUCUGACACCCCUGUCUACACCUCUGCCUGUGGCUCAUCUAUACUGCUGGAAAUGCUGCUUCCGAUCAUCUUUGAAUGAACAGCAGGGCAAUGAUAAAGGAAAACCUCUAUUACGUCUAUUGUGAAGAAUGAUGUCCUUUAACACUCAUGACUUGGAACAUUGUAUACAGUUUUUCUCCCAAAAAAUAAAUUCUCCAGUGGCCUG